UACGGAGGAUGCAAGCGUUAUCCGGAAUGAUUGGGCGUAAAGCGUCCGCAGGUGGCUAUGUAAGUCUGCUGUUAAAGAGUGAGGCUCAACCUCAUAAGAGCAGUGGAAACUACAUGGCUAGAGUGCGUUCGGGGCAGAGGGAAUUCCUGGUGUAGCGGUGAAAUGCGUAGAUAUCAGGAAGAACACCGGUGGCGAAAGCGGGCUGCUGGGCCGCAACUGACACUGAGGGACGAAAGCUAGGGGAGCGAAUAGG
rnacentral:rRNA from 1 species